rnacentral:tRNA from 1 species
AAGAGAAAUUGGCCGAGUAGGUAUUAGUCUCUUAAAUUAAUUACGUAAUUAGAAUAAGUUAUUAAAUAU